rnacentral:rRNA from 1 species
GGUAAUGGCUCACCANGACUAUGACGCUUAACUGGUUUGAGAGGAUGAUCAGUCACACUGNAACUGAGACACGGUCCANACUCCUACGGGAGGCAGCNGUGGGGAAUAUUGCACAAUGGAGGANACUCUGAUGCAGCANCGCCNCGUGGAGGAUGACACAUUUCGGUGCGUAAACUCNUUUUAUAUGUCAAGAUAAUGACGGUNGCAUAUGAAUNAGCACCGGCUAACUUCGUGCCAGCAGCCGCGGUAAUACGAGGGGUGCAAGCGUUACUCGGAAUCACUGGGCGUAAAGAGAAUGUNGGCGGGUAAUUAAGUUGGAAGUGAAAUCCUAUGGCUCANCCAUAGAACUGCUUCCAAAACUGAUUACCUANAGUAUGGGAGAGGUAGAUGGNAUUUCUGGUGUAGGGG